ACUUCUCUCUUCUGCCUCCUAGUGAAAAAGGUGCCUGCUUCUUCUUCUGCCAUAAGUUUCCUGAGGCUUCCCCAGCCGUGCGUAACUGAGUGAGGACCUAGAAUUUUAAUGUCUAAUAUGCGGUGUGAAUUAAAGAAGUGGCCUUGCUAUGCUGACCUUUUCAAUAUUCUAAUCUUUGCUUUGCUGACCUCUCAGGCCUCUUCCUGGCAACAGUUAGGCUUUUGAGAGGAGGGAGAGCUGAGACUGUUGGCUCCUUCCCAUUUAUGAGAGAGCCACAUGACAUCAGCCCAUAGACUGUGGAGAGUAUUCCAGAUCUAUCACAUUCUGCGAUUCUGCGAUUCCCAGAAGGCUGGUCAUGAAAAAAUUCCCUCUUCAGUUUACAUAUAUGGCAGUGCUCCAGUGCCAUGACAGUUUUAAUCUUCUGGUUCCAUCUGCAUAGAUUUCAGUCUCUAAUUGAGGAAAAUCAUCUGUUUUUCUCAGGAGCCCCUUGAUUCAAGUUUAUACAAAAUGUGCCUUUGGAGACUAUCCUGUUAAUUAAAACAGUUCAGAUCCCACUUGUAUGUGAGACAGAUGCUUCUCUGGCCAUCAGCCAGGUACCACUAAAGGAGGUACAGGCCUCUGGGCCAGUGAUGGGAGGGGCUGCCUUGAAGAUGUCUGAAAUGCCCUGGAGACAUCAUCCCCAUCAUCUUGGUGAUUAACAUUCAGCUCCUCUUUACUUAUGGAAAUGUAUUCAGCCACCUUGAGUUGCUCCCC
rnacentral:lncRNA from 1 species